GGAAAGGUGGGGGGGGCGAGGACAGCCCCCCGGCUCUCGAGCGGGCGUGGCUUCCACCGUCACUGGAUACGCGGAUGCUGCGCGGCUCCGGGGGCUGCUCGCAGCCGCCUGUUCAUCCGCGGCGGGCACGGGCGGCUCGCGGCGCCCCCCGCGGCCGCCACCUCCCCGCCACACGCCAGGGGCGCCGGCGCCCGCUCGGAACCCAGCCCUGCUUCUCAGCUCCGCGAGGUGGGCUGGGUUGCGUGUGGAGUUGGUUUUUGAGCCCGUCCUAGGAGCCGCUGAGGAAAAAUGAAUGGGGGUGAAAGGAGAAGGUUGGGCGGCGGGAGGUCGCGAGACCUGAGGUCGCCUGGCUAGAGGGCCGCCGUCCCCCGGGGAGGGUUGACUGAGCCUGCCGCCUCGGGGGUGCAACGCUGGGGUCUCGGGGAAAGGAAACCACAGCCCGGACGAGCUUCCCCCCACUGAGCUGCCAGAAUAGUUUCCCCCUCCGGGGGCCACCGCAGAGUGCGCGGAGGCUGGAGACCCCUUGGAGAGGUCCCCGCGCCCCGCCCGGCCGGUCCUCCACGCGGCGCUGCCUCGGACUGCAAUGGCAAUGAAGCUUUUGCCUCUCAAAGAACUACUUAGAAGUAGGACAUCUCGGCCUUCAGCCCCUUCAUUUCUUUUUCCCCUUGUUCCUUCUCUCUUUAUCUCUCUCUCACUUAUGCCCUGCUUCAAAGUAACAGCUUUACGCGUGACCCCGCCUGCACCCUUAUCUGGGUGUCCUGGGUUUCGCCCAAAAGGUUGGGCUGAGUGGGAGCUUCUGGGAGCGCACGGUCCCGCGUAGGGUCCCGCUCACCCGGACCCCGAACGCCCUCGCCACGCCCCGGUGGGAUCCUCCCCUCCCCGCCUGGUUGCACUUUCUCCUCCCGACUUCCCAGCUAGCGCCUGCCCUCCAUGGAGCGGUGCUCGCUCCCUCUGCGCUCACAAGUCCCCUCUUUGGCCCUCUCCUGCCACGCCUGGGGCCGAGGUCUGAUUGAGUCUGUCCCUGUCCCUGGGUUGAGGCAUUGGGGGUGACGACUGGAUGAUGUUUCUGUGAUACGCGCGGCUCUGAGCGCUCCCACACGUUGCAGAGGACACAUUGACGUUCCCGGCUUCUCCUUCCCGCGCCUCGACACUUCAUAAUUACCUGACACAAUGCGAUAUGGGGGUGUCCAUUGUUCCACUGCAUGUUACUGUGGAGUGUUCGUUAUGACAGUGGUGGAACUUAAAAUUACACAAUUUUUUUAAGUUCCUAAAAGAAUGAAUUCCGUGUGGGGAUAUGAGUAAGCUUUCCAUUAAAUCUCAGUUUGGCCUGUCAAACGAGGCUCAUUCUGGGUAUUACAUCGCCUAAUUUGCAUUUUAGCAUUGUUUUGUUUCUUAAAUGUCACAUUAGAGAUACAUGGGCGUGUACGCAGGAGAGCUGAGUACCUCCACGUUGCCUAUUUUGCAUUUUAGCAUCAUUUUGUUUUUAAUAAACGCCAACUUAAAAACAUCUGGGAGUGCACCCAGGAGGGCUGAGUACCUCCUCCCUCCUGAUUUCUUCUCUUCCCCGUCCCGGGGAGGCGAGGGGAAGCUGCACCCUGCUCCCCGUGGCUGCCUAGAUCCUGGGCAAGCCAGGAGGCCAGAGCGAGCCAGGCUUUGCGCCUGCAAGGGGUCCGCGCGAGAAACACUUACGCCGAGGAAAAGUUAAAAUUCCUGGGACGCCCAAGAGUCAAGAGAGGAAGACUGAUGAGGUUUUAGGGGAGCUUUGCAGUACAGGCGUCCUGUAUUUGCGAUUUUCCCAGUAGCCUCUGAGAACCUAUCUAGGUACACUCAGGUCGUGAGCCGCGAGUCCUGUGGCCGGGUCUCAGAGCCCGCAGCAGCCCACAGCGCACCUACGACGACCCAAUAACGCGGAGAGGAGCCUAAAGCUGUCGCAGCAACCUCCCCCCACUCCUGGAAUGAUAGUGCAACAUUCGCCAGUGGCUGAUCACCUUUUGGUGGCCUGGAGGUGGAGCAGAGCUGGUACAACAAAAAUGAAGAAAGAAAAUACAGAUAGAGUGACCAGAAGCUGUGCCCAGAAGAAAAUCUCAGGAUAUACAGUGUGGAAAGGCACUGAAGUCCUAAACUGGAAAAUAAAGCAAAACAAACCAAACCCCUUGGGAAAAAAUUAAGCGCCACACUGAACACAGUAUGCAUGGGGGUGCGUUUUUCAUGUAGUGAGCAACAGAGUUUUGUGGAGUGAACACAUGGACAUUACAAAGAAUUUUAGUAAUAACAAAACCUACUAUUUAUCGAAUGCUUCUUUAU
rnacentral:lncRNA from 10 species